GGAAAGGACUGUGGCUCAGUGGUGGAGCAUCUGUUUUCCAUACAGGAAGUCCCCCGUUCAAUCCCUAGCAUCUCCA